CCUUCGGUAGCUCAGUUGGUAGAGCGGAGGACUGUAGAUCCUUAGGUCGCUGGUUCGAAUCCGGCCCGAAGGA
rnacentral:tRNA from 2 species